UACGUAGGGUGCAAGCGUUGUCCGGAAUUAUUGGGCGUAAAGAGCUCGUAGGCGGUUUGUCGCGUCGGCUGUGUAAUACCGCAGGCUCAACCUCGGGCCUGCAGUCGAUACGGGCAAACUAGAGUGUGGUAGGGGAGACUGGAAUUCCUGGUGUAGCGGUGAAAUGCGCAGAUAUCAGGAGGAACACCGGCGGCGAAGGCGGGUCUCUGGGCCAUAACUGACGCUGAGGAGCGAAAGCGUGGGGAGCGAACAGG
rnacentral:rRNA from 1 species